rnacentral:lncRNA from 1 species
AGUAUAAUAUUUAUACUAUAAAGUAAUAAUAAAUAAUCUGGAAAUAUUCUUGACAUUAAUAAAAUAGCUCACAGCUCUUCCUAUUCUUACUGUAUUUCAAUUUCCAUUCUGAUGUUUAUGUAUUUCAUUUAUUGUGCUCUCUCUCAACAACCAUAUGAACUUGGCACUGUACUUAUCAUCUUCAUUUUAUGCAUUAAGAAACAAAGCCAUAAGAAGUUAAUCAACUGGUUCAAGGUUACAGAGCUAGUCAUUGGCAGAGCUCAGAUAUGAAUCCAGAAAGUCUAAUUCCAGACCCACAUCUAUAACUGCUGCUACACACAUUUGUCAUUAUUGGUGAAA